AAGAGCUUCUGACAAGGCGCUCUUCGCUUGGGAGCGAGGCCGGCGAUGGCGCUUUGCCUUUGGCUGGCGGUGGCCGGGGAAGCCCUGCUUCUCGGGGCGCCAGGCCUGUCCCUCCCUCCGGGCUCUGAGGGCCCCUCACCGGCGGCGCUUGGCUCCUCCUCACACUCCGUGCACUACCUCCACACUGCUGUGUCUGAACCCCCCCUGGGGAGUCCUCAGUACAUCGCAGUGGGAUACCUGGACGGCCACCUCUUUCUUCAGUACGACAGCAUCACCCGGAGAGCGCAGCCUCGAGUGCCCUGGAUGGAGAAGGUGGUGGAAGAGGAUCCGGAAUAUUGGGAGAGGAACACCCAGAUAGAACAGGGCAGUGAGCAGUGGUUCAGAGAGAACCUGGCCGUCCUGAAGCAUCGCUACAACCACAGCGGAGGAUUUCACUCCAUGCAGGAGAUGUAUGGCUGUGAGCUGAAGAGGGACGGGAGCAAAAGAGGAUAUUGGCAGAAUGCCUAUGACGGGAGGGACUACCUCAGCUUCGACACGGAGACCGUCACCUGGACGGCGGCCCUUCCCAAGGCCCAGAUCACCAAAGAGAAGUGGGAGAAUGAUCCUGCCUACGGCCAAAGAAUGAAGGCCUACCUGGAGGGGGAAUGCCUGGAGAAGCUGAAGAGAUUCCUGGACUAUGGGAAGGAGAGGCUGCUGAGGAGAGAGCCCCCAGUAGGGAAGGUGACCCGCAUGUUCCUCUCUGAAGGGAGGGAGAUGCUGGUCUGCCAGGCCCACGGCUUCUACCCCAAGGAGAUCGAAGCCACCUGGAGGAAGGGCGGGGAGAUCAUGGAGCAGGACACCUUCCGGAGGAGCGUCGCUCCCAACUCCGAUGGGACCUACCACGCCUGGCUCAGCAUCGAGAUCAACCCUGAAGACAGAGACCUCUACCGAUGCCACAUCGAUCACACUGGCCUGACUGAGCCUCUGGUCUUGGCCUGGGAAGCGCCUGUGGAGAAACGGUCAUGGGAUCAUGUGGGAGCCAUUGUGGGAAUCGUCGUGUUUGCUCUCCUCCUGAUGGCUGCUGGGAUUGUCUUCUUUCGCAAAGCCAUUUCUGGGGCUUAAAUCAAUCUCUGAGGAUGAACCAAAAUGAAAUCUAGCUCCCCAAAGCUCAAUUCUCAUGGACUGGAAAGCAGCUGAGCACCAUCUAGUCUGGGCGCAAGCAACAGGGAGGACCCUUGUAAAGCAGCGUUAACUGAGUCCUCCAUCACUGGAACCUUAUUUCAGUCGAGUUCAGAAGCAGUUUUUCCUGAGACACUUCUGCACUCUCGCGAGCACCUCUUUCCCCGGCUGGAAACAUUUUAUGCACCGUCCGAUGUGGGAGAGGCCUGCUCGGCAGGGAGGAAACCAACCGAGAAGAAAGGGAAAAGGG